AGGCAGAAGGAGUCGAUGGGCCUCUUAGGCCGGAAACCUUACAAGCAUAGGACCAAGGCAGAAAAGGGCCAGAGGGUUCAUGGUCCUCCGUUCCACCUGAAUCCAGCUAGAGAGCGAGCCAGGGGGAUAGGUGUGCCCCUCGUCGCCCGUGCGCUGAGGCACUGUCACGCAAAGAGACAUUCACCUUCCACGUCAACGCACCUUUAAGGGCGAGAGCGGUCCGCCGUGCCCAAGAGGAACGGGAUGACAUUCAACUGGGACUUGCCUCACCUUGGCUUGGGGGACCUCGAGAGCGGUCCCGUGGGGGCGGUGUUACUCGUGGUGGUAGAAGUGGAGGGCGUGUCCGGGUACUUGAGUUCAUGGGCAUCUCUCCCGCCGCCUCUCAGCCUAUCUGCACCAUGUCUCACACGUUCAGUUGCAGCUCUUACCGUUUUGAAGGCGCACGUGGGCAAGAAGUCCUGGGCAGCACAAGAAAGUCAAUCACGUUGAGACAGAGAGAGCAGGAGAGGAAGUGGGCCCCAGUAGAAGUGGGCGAGAGAGCGUUGGGUGGGAACGUGGCACGAGAGAGAGAAAUUAUGAGAU
rnacentral:lncRNA from 1 species